CGGAAAGAGACUUCGGUCAAUGGAAGCUUUGACUUAGUGGCGGACGGGUGAGUAACGCGUGAGGAACCUGCCUUUCAGUGGGGGACAACAGUUGGAAACGACUGCUAAUACCGCAUGAUGCAUAGGGGUCGCAUGAUUCUUAUGCCAAAGAUUUAUCGCUUCAAGAUGGCCUCGCGUCUGAUUAGCUAGUUGGCGGGGUAACGGCCCACCAAGGCUACGAUCGGUAGGGGUUCUGAGAGGAAGGCCCCCACAAUGGGACUGAGACACGGACCAAACUCC
rnacentral:rRNA from 1 species